rnacentral:ncRNA from 1 species
UUACAUAUAGCGCAUGGACAAAUUGAUUUUAUGAUUUGUUGACGAGGGUGAGGCUUAUCGAUUUAUCAGCGGAUGGUCUUACGGCAUACUCUGUCGUUAAUUGCUUGCAAAAACACGUGGUGACAUGUGAACAGAUAA